GCCUUCGUAGUGUAGCGGUCAGCACGCUUGGCGAGUAACCGAGAGGUCCGUGGUUCGAUUCCUGGCGAAGGCG
rnacentral:tRNA from 1 species